AGUGUCUGUAACAUCUGCAUGUUUUAUUUCUCAUUGCUGGCAUUGGACAUUUGAGUUAUUCUUUCUCCCAUUCACCUCAUCAGGUUUUUCCAUCUCUCUCCUCUGUGUUGAGUAUACUCUCAUGGACUGUCUUCCAUUUCAUUAUCUCUUCCAAUCUGACUCAUCUCUCAUCUCCAUUAGGUGAUAGUACUAACUUGGCACGAUUUUAUACUACACUCACAGCUUGAGAUCUGAGUGUCCUGCCGCCAACCUACAUCUCUGACAAUUACUUGGAAAGGCUAGAGAAAGUAAGAGGAUGAGUCACCAAAAUGCAGCAUCAAUUGAGAAGGUAAUUCUCCUCCUCCGGGUCUCUUGUGCCGGCUCAAGGUAUUCACAUAAAGAUUGGGAUGGCUUACAGAGGGAGAGGGGGUGUUAGAUGACUGUCUUGGCAAGAAACCUCCGAUAAACUUGUGCCUACUGAAGGAGAGGAGGAAAGAUUAAAGAAGAUUACAGGACAAAGGGAUUGUGAUUAGGGCAACCCACACUCCUAUCCUUUGGUAAGAAUAGGUUACUUGCCUCCAAAUUUGAGCCAUCCUGCCAGGGCCUCUUUCAUCAAGACGACAUAUUGGGAGAGGGGACCCUGUCUUAGACACUUUCUUGCCACUGAGACAUAAUACUGACACUCACAAUUUAAAGAAGGGUUUAUUUUGGCUCACAGUCCAUGGUUGGCUGGCUCCAACACAGAAACCACAUUGCAGAAGGACCAGGCAGAGGUAAAUGGCUCAUGGUCAAGAAGUAGGGAAAGGAGCGAGAGCCACUCAGAGAUACACCCCUUCCAAGUCACACCCCCAGUGACCUGCCUCUUCCUCAAGCAAACUCACCUUCUAAUGGGAUAUUUGGCUAUUAGUGUAGUGGACCUAUGCUUCAGUCACUUUCCAAAAGCCCAGCCUUUGAGAACAUGAGAGUUGGGG
rnacentral:lncRNA from 1 species